UACGUAGGGUGCGAGCGUUAUUCGGAAUUACUGGGCGUAAAGCGUUCGCAGGCGGUUCGUUAAGUCAGAUGUGAAAGCCCCGGGCUCAACCUGGGAACUGCAUUUGAAACUGGCGGGCUUGAGUAUGGCAGAGGGGGGUAGAAUUCCGCGUGUAGCAGUGAAAUGCGUAGAGAUGCGGAGGAACACCGAUGGCGAAGGCAGCCCCCUGGGCCAAUACUGACGCUCAGGCACGAAAGCGUGGGGAGCAAACAGG
rnacentral:rRNA from 1 species